rnacentral:rRNA from 1 species
GACGAACGCUGGCGGCGUGCUUAACACAUGCAAGUCGAACGGAAAGGCCCUGCUUUUGUGGGGUGCUCGAGUGGCGAACGGGUGAGUAACACGUGAGUAACCUGCCCUUGACUUUGGGAUAACUUCAGGAAGCUGGGGCUAAUACCGGAUAGGAGCUCCUGCUGCAUGGUGGGGGUUGGAAAGAUUCGGCGGUUGGGGAUGGACUCGCGGCUUAUCAGCUUGUUGGUGGGGUAGUGGCUUACCAAGGCUUUGACGGGUAGCCGGCCUGAGAGGGUGACCGGCCACAUUGGGACUGAGAUACGGCCCAGACUCCUACGGGAGGCAGCAGUGGCGAAUAUUGCACAAUGGGCGGAAGCCUGAUGCAGCAACGCCGCGUUCGGGAUGACGGCCUUCGGGUUGUAAACCGCUUUCGCCUGUGACGAAGCGUGAGUGACGGUAAUGGGUAAAGAAGCACCGGCUAACUACGUG